GCAGUCGAGCGGGGAAGAGUAGCUUGCUACUUUACCUAGCGGCGGACGGGUGAGUAAUGCUUAGGAAUCUGCCUAUUAGUGGGGGACAACAUCUCGAAAGGGAUGCUAAUACCGCAUACGUCCUACGGGAGAAAGCAGGGGACCUUCGGGCCUUGCGCUAAUAGAUGAGCCUAAGUCGGAUUAGCUAGUUGGUGGGGUAAAGGCCUACCAAGGCGACGAUCUGUAGCGGGUCUGAGAGGAUGAUCCGCCACACUGGGACUGAGACACGGCCCAGACUCCUACGGGAGGCAGCAGUGGGGAAUAUUGGACAAUGGGGGGAACCCUGAUCCAGCCAUGCCGCGUGUGUGAAGAAGGCCUUUUGGUUGUAAAGCACUUUAAGCGAGGAGGAGGCUACCGAGAUUAAUACUCUUGGAUAGUGGACGUUACUCGCAGAAUAAGCACCGGCUAACUCUGUGCCAGCAGCCGCGGUAAUACAGAGGGUGCAAGCGUUAAUCGGAUUUACUGGGCGUAAAGCGCGCGUAGGUGGCCAAUUAAGUCAAAUGUGAAAUCCCCGAGCUUAAACUUGGGAUUGCAUUCGAUA
rnacentral:rRNA from 1 species